UUUUUUUUAUAUAUAUUAGAGGAGCUGGCAGCACCCGAGAAGUGUGUGGGGGACCCCUCUCCAUGCGUGGGACCAGUUGCAAGAGACGCCAUGCUGGAGUUUGAGGAGCCCAUACCUGCUGAGAGAUGAACAGGGAAGCAGGUAAUGGCUUGCCCGAGAAGGUAGGAAUCGGCUGGAGAGAAACAAGAGGAAGGGCAGGCAACGACUGAGGAGGGAACAGGAGAGCAGGUGCUAGCUUUCCGGAUAAGGUAGAGGGUAGCAUGUUCGAGGGUUGCCGGGUGAGAGGCCGGGGAGUUCUGGGAGCAGCUGGGAGAUUGGAGGGGUUUUUGGGGUAGAAAAAAAAAAAUCUGGUGGAAGAAAAAUAGGGGAAGGGAGAAAGGUUGCGGCAGAGAAGAAAAUGAGAGGAAAGAGAAUUAGAGUUGGCUGGAUUUUGGGGCGAGUCUCAUUGAUGGGGAGGUAGUUUCCAGGCAUGAUUAUUAGGUCUCUCAUUUUCCAUUAUUUUCAGAUCUUUUUUAUUUUUAUUUUUUUAUUUUUAUUUAUUUUUAGACGUUAUUUGCUACUUGAUGUUUUUGUUGUUUUUUGAAUAUCAUUAGUUGAUUAAUGUUUGAAGGAGCCAUGUUUUAGCUUUUGCUUAAGUUCAUUCUGAAGUAUUUAACCGUUGUUCUGAGCAUUGAUUUGUUGAUUGGUAUAAAUAUGAAGGGCUAUUUGAUUGUUUUGGCUUAAUCUAAUUUUUUUGUAUACAUACCCUGUUUUGGGUUUUCUUUGUUUUCCCCCCUGCACAAGACCAAUGCAUGGAUUCAUUCAUUUAUUCAUUCUAACUUAAUAUAUAAGAGGCAUGUUUUCUGGUCAUCGUGGUUUUAUUGGCCCCGCCAUAGUUCGCAAGUUCCCACAGCUCGGAUUUGUAAAUCUCCC
rnacentral:lncRNA from 1 species